AUCUCUCUGCCCCUCAUUUCUCUACCCCUCAUUUCUCUACCUCUCUCAUCUCUCUCUACCUUAUCCUCGGCGUGGGGACGCAGCGCCCGCUCCAGCGGCGAAGGCGGCGGCGCGGACACGGACGCGGAUGCGGGGGCUCAGCCUGGGAAGCUGCUGCUCCCUGGGAAGCUGCUGCCGCCGCCGCGCGCCGCGCAAGGCCUCAAGCCGAUCAAGCAGGCUCCGACGCCGCAGCGCAGGGGCGUCAGCCUGGGGCCCUUGGAGAUCCACCACGGCGUCUGCAUCAAGCCUGGGGCCGCGGCGACGGCGCGGGUCAAGCCGUCCCAGCGAAACCGUGGCCAUCCAACAACGGGGCCGCACCAAGCAGAGCCAAGGCGAGGAGCGAGAGCAUGAGCCCGGCGAGGGAAGACAGCCGAGCGAGCAGGAGCACACGUGGCCCGAGGCAAAGCACGCGCGGUGCGUCGGCCAGCAGCUCGCGCGGUAGUGCACGGGACGCCGGCCAACUUCCGCAAGCUGCUGGCCGGGCAGCUCAAGAAGCUUGCGGCCACGAGGAAGCUAACCCGCGUGAAGAACUCAUUCAAGCUGACCGCCGCCCCGGACGGGAGCUAGCCGUGGGUGAUUUUUUCUCUUUUUUUUUCUUAUUUUUCAGUAAUAGAUAUGCAUGUGAGAUUGUAUGGAUUAGAUCUAUCUUGUAAACAAUUCUUUGGAUGAUUUGUGGAAUCUAUGAGUAUUUUGUCGAUCGAUUUAAUAUCUUGUGAACAA